ACCCGCUGAACUUAAGCAUAUCAAUAAGCGGAGGAAAAGAAACCAACAGGGAUUGCCCUAGUAACGGCGAGUGAAGCGGCAUCAGCUCAAAUUUGAAAUCUGGCUCUUUUAGGGUCCGAGUUGUAAUUUGCAGAGGGCGCUUUGGCAUAGGCAGCGAUUCAAGUCCCUUGGAACAGGGCGUCACAGAGGGUGAGAAUCCCGUACGUGGUUGCUAGCUCUUGCCGUGUAAAGCCCCUUCGACGAGUCGAGUUGUUUGGGAAUGCAGCUCUAAAUGGGAGGUAAAUUUCUUCUAAAGCUAAAUAUUGGCCAGAGACCGAUAGCGCACAAGUAGAGUGAUCGAAAGAUGAAAAGCACUUUGGAAAGAGAGUCAAAAAGCACGUGAAAUUGUUGAAAGGGAAGCGCUUGCAGCCAGACUUGCCUGUAGUUGCUCAUCCGGGCUCUUGCCCGGUGCACUCUUCUGUAGGCAGGCCAGCAUCAGUUUGGGCGGUUGGAUAAAGGUCUCUGUCAUGUACCUCUCUUCGGGGAGGCCUUAUAGGGGAGACGACAUACAACCAGCCUGGACUGAGGUCCGCGCAUUCGUGCUAGGAUGCUGGCGUAAUGGCUGU
rnacentral:rRNA from 1 species